rnacentral:rRNA from 1 species
CGUACACUCCUGCGGGAGGCAGCAGUGGGGAAUAUUGGACAAUGGGCGCAAGCCUGAUCCAGCCAUGCCGCGUGAGUGAUGAAGGCCCUAGGGUUGUAAAGCUCUUUCACCGGUGAAGAUAAUGACGGUAACCGGAGAAGAAGCCCCGGCUAACUUCGUGCCAGCAGCCGCGGUAAUACGAAGGGGGCUAGCGUUGUUCGGAUUUACUGGGCGUAAAGCGCACGUAGGCGGACUAUUAAGUCAGGGGUGAAAUCCCGGGGCUCAACCCCGGAACUGCCUUUGAUACUGGUAGUCUUGAGUUCGAGAGAGGUGAGUGGAAUUCCGAGUGUAGAGGUGAAAUUCGUAGAUAUUCGGAGGAACACCAGUGGCGAAGGCGGCUCACUGGCUCGAUACUGACGCUGAGGUGCGAAAGCGUGGGGAGCAAACAGGAUUAGAAACCCUAGUAGUCCCAUG